rnacentral:rRNA from 1 species
AGUGAACGCUGGCGGUAGGCCUAACACAUGCAAGUCGAACGGCAGCACAGUAAGAGCUUGCUCUUACGGGUGGCGAGUGGCGGACGGGUGAGGAAUACAUCGGAAUCUACUUUUUCGUGGGGGAUAACGUAGGGAAACUUACGCUAAUACCGCAUACGACCUACGGGUGAAAGCAGGGGAUAUUCGGACCUUGCGCGAUUGAAUGAGCCGAUGUCGGAUUAGCUAGUUGGCGGGGUAAAGGCCCACCAAGGCGACGAUCCGUAGCUGGUCUGAGCGGAUGAUCGGCCACACUGGAACUGAGACACGGUCCAGACUCCUACGGGAGGCAGCAGUGGGGAAUAUUGGACAAUGGGCGCAAGCCUGAUCCAGCCAUACCGCGUGGGUGAAGAAGGCCUUCGGGUUGUAAAGCCCUUUUGUUGGGAAAGAAAAGCAGCAGGUUAAUACCCCGCUGUUCUGACGGUACCCAAAGAAUAAGCACCGGCUAACUUCGU